CCCUUAGAUGUCCUGGGCUGCACGCGCGCUACACUGAUGUGUCCAGUAAGCACCUAACCUCUUCCGAAAGGAACGGGUAACCUUUGCAAAGCACAUCGUGAUGGGGAUAGAUUAUUGCAAUUAUUAGUCUUGAACGAGGAAUUCCUAGUAAGCACAAGUCAUCAGCUUGUGUUGAUUACGUCUCUGCCCUUUGUACACACCGCCCGUCGCUCCUACCGAUUGAAUGUUCCGGUGAGCUCUUCGGACUGCGCGGUCUGCAGUUUCUGCGUUCCGUGCGGAAAGUUGUGCAAACCUUAACAUUUAGAGGAAGGAGAAGUCGUAACA
rnacentral:rRNA from 1 species